GAGGUUGUGGCUCAGAGGUGGAGUGCUCGCCUAGCAUGCAUGAGGCACUGGGCUCGAUCCUCAGCACCACA
rnacentral:tRNA from 1 species